rnacentral:rRNA from 1 species
AGUGAACGCUGGCGGUAGGCCUAACACAUGCAAGUCGAACGGCCGCACAGAGGAGCUUGCUCCUUGGGUGGCGAGUGGCGGACGGGUGAGGAAUACAUCGGAAUCUACUCUGUCGUGGGGGAUAACGUAGGGAAACUUACGCUAGUACCGCAUACGACCUACGGGUGAAAGCAGGGGACCUUCGGGCCUUGCGCGAUUGAAUGAGCCGAUGUCGGAUUAGCUAGUUGGCGGGGUAAAGGCCCACCAAGGCGACGAUCCGUAGCUGGUCUGAUGGGAUGAUGAGCCACACUGGAACUGAGACACGGUCAAGACUCCUACGGGAGGCAGCAGUGGGGAAUAUUGGACAAUAGGCGCAAGCCUGAUCCAGCCAUACCGCGUGGGUGAAGAAGGCCUUCGGGUUGUAAAGCCCUUUUGUUGGGAAAGAAAUCCAGCUGGCUAAUACCCGGUUGGGAUGGCGGUACCCAAAGAAUAAGCACCGGCUAACUUCGUGCCAGCCGCCGCCGUAA